GAGGCUAUAGCUCAGUGGUAGAGUGGGUGCUUAGCAUGCCCAAGGUCCUGGGUUCAAUCCCCAGUCCCUCCA
rnacentral:tRNA from 1 species